AUAGAUCUAUGGUCUCUCCAUAGGUUGAAAGUUGGUUUGCACCACUUUAACUGGUCUUGUUCAUGUUUUACUACUUGGUUUUAAGGUUUUGACUUAAGCAUAAAGCGCUACAUUCUAUGCUCCUUCUGCAACUGCAGGAAGACAAUAUGGUUGGAGCAUGAUUUACACCAUACUUGUAGGAAAAGCUAGAAGACAAGAGUAAAGGAAUGGGCUUGUAAAUGCUCGUCUUAUUUGUUUGCAAUGAAAAGAUGUAGGACAUUAACUUCGUAUCAUUUGGAAUAUAAUGCCCCAAAUUACUGGCUUACCAAAUGGAAACAGAUAUCCAUUUCUUCUGAAUACCUGAUUAGCACCUCUAUUUUGAUUACUGAAUAAAUCCGUCCCGGGGAAAUGGCUGUCGAGGUAUGCUUCUAUGCACAGGUGUAAAUGGUCGAUUUUCGCCAGUGUUUGAUGGGCUUUUGCCCUUAAAUUGCUAUUGUCGGUUUUAAGAGUGCAUCGCCGAAUUCCAUUGUAAUAGUCGGGUUUGGUGAGCUAGGUGUGGUUGGUUUAGUAGCGGUUUUGGUCAGUUUUCGGUUUUUACGUCAUACACAAACAAUUCAUGACUUUGAUCAAAUAAUAUUUGUUUGUACAUCUUAACAUACAUUAGAACAAUUUGAUUCCUACAUGAGGAACACAAAUCAGUACUUGAAUAAUCUACUUCUGGCAAUCCCUUUUGCUCCCUCAAUGUUAAUUUAGGUAUCCUAAAUCUUGAGUGGCAGGUCAGGACUAAAAUCUGAAUAGCAGCAGAAUCAAUUUUGAUUACUUAAGAAUCUCCUCCUUAAGAGAGAAUUUAGAGUUUCUACUCGAAGUGAAUCUUAGAGUGAGGAGACUGAGUGAAAGAGUGUCCUUUAGAGUUGAGAGGAAGAGAGAGAAUCUUUGCCUUGUUCCAUGAGAGAGACGCCGUGAGUCAUGAGCGUAUGAGAGAGAUGUGCAAAGGUUGUGGGUGGAAGAGUCAAAGAUAGAGAGAGUGAAUUCUUAGCAUUCAAGAGUGUAUUAUGUUUGUAUUCAUAUAUGUUUAUUCUAAAUAUAUAAUCUAUUUUCAAAUAAGCUGGUUCGGUAAAUAAACCGGAUUUUCUGAGGUAAACUGGGCACCAACUGAGUGACACUCGUUUUUUCCUUUAGAGAACUUUUUACUAAAUGACUUGGAUAUAAAACCGGCCAGGAUUGACCAGUCUGGUCCAGUUUGGCUGUUUUAUUUUUUGGGUUGUGAAACAGCCCUAAUUUAAUGAAAUGCCUCUGUUGUAUAUUUCGUUUUUGAUUGUGGGUUCUGGAAAGCUCGUAUAGAAAUAACUAAUGCAGUAAUUGAAGAACUUCAAUUUCUAUGGGCCUUUUAAACAUGUGGCAUAGCUUCUUUUGCCUUUCAGUAAAGGACGGGUUCUUGUAUACAUAACAAAUGAUUAUCGAAUAAUAUUUGACUUCGGCGAGUAAUCAAGUUUCAAUACAUAUAUUUUUCUACUAGGAAGUUGCUGUUCUUUGCACUUUUGUUUUUGGGGUGGAUGCGUGUGGGUGGAACAAGUCCUUUUUGUAUAUUUAGAUAAUGUAGUAUUUCUUUAUAUGUUUUAUUAGUGUAGCACCAACAUAAAUUCCAUUGAUUGAUUACUGUGUGUCUCAUAUCAAUGACACAGAUAUUUACUGAAACAACCCGGGUCAAAUCUCGAGUCCGGAACAAAUCUUGGGUCAAAUCCCAAGUCCGAAUCGAAUCAAAUCCAUCCAAAUAAGGCCUCAAACCACUGGCCCAAUAGUAUCUUCUUGGGUCAUCUAGCCCACCACAGGCUCCCAAAAGGUCAUGACUUGAAGGUACUAUUGGUAGUUACUUAAUUCCUCAUAUACAGACAGAUUUUUUUCUUAUCUUUCGAUGUGGGACUGAGGUGUUACAAACUCCCCCACUUAAAUUUCUGACGUCCCCGUCAGAACCGAUCACACACACGGCCCAAAGAUCUUUGCCUCUCUAGCCAUUGUGGGAUAAUACCGGCUGGCUUCGUGUCCCCACCUCCGGACCUCCAUCUCUCCAUUGUGGGAUAAUACCACCAGACUCGGCUCUGAUACCAUAUGAAACAACCUGGGUCAAAUCCCGAGUCCGGAACAAAUCUUGGGUCAAAUCCCAAGUCCGAAUCGAAUCAAAUCCAUCACAAUAAGACCUCAAACUACUGGCCCAAUAGUAUCUUCUUGGGUCANNNNNNNNNNNNNNNNNNNNNNNNNNNNNNNNNNNNNNNNNNNNNNNNNNNNNNNNNNNNNNNNNNNNNNNNNNNNNNNNNNNNNNNNNNNNNNNNNNNNAAUACAGUGAGAUGAUUUAGGUUUACCAGGAAUCUCAAGAUUGCUUCUUGUCUUUACUUUAUCCAUUUGUUUCUCCUCCUCCUUCUUUUGAAGGUAAGUAAAAGGUACCAAUUUUAAUUUUAGGUAUCACAUAAAAAAAAAUCACAUAUUAUAUAACCUUUUUUUUACAUGAUAUUAACAUUAUUUUUUUUAAUUUAUACUUUUAAAUAUAAAUCUCUCUCUUUGAAUUAGCAAGGAAAAGAUAAGAAAAAAAAACAAACAAAAAAAGAUUUGGGGACCAAUUAACACUAUAUUGGUGGAAAAUGGUUAGCAUAAAAUUUAUUUUUGAUUAAGUUGGUUAAUUGGUCAAUAGAAUACUGACACGCAAGUUAUACUCUGUGUGUCAGCAUUCUAUUGGCCAAUUGACCAACGUACCAAAAAAUAAAAUUUAUGCUAACCGGAUCUAUAUUAGUGAUAUGAUUACUAUAUUUUUUUAAAUAAUAUCAUCGAAAGAAAAAAAAAAUUGGACGAAAAAUUAUGUUACAAUAUUCAUAUGACGGUGAGAGCAAAAUUUUAUAAAAUAAUUCGGCUACUAGCAUUCGAAUAUCCAAACGCAUUGUAACAAUUUUAAUAUAUUGUAUAUUAAAUUUAAAAAUAUAUUUGUGAGUUAAAUAAAUUAUAUUUAAAAUAAAUUAAAUAAAAUUUUUAAUAUAUUUUGAACAUUGUUUAAAAAUAAAAAAUUAUUAAAAUUAAUAUACUAAUAUAAAAAAUUAAUAUUUUGACACGAUGUGUUACGCAUAAUUACGUAAAUAGUCUCAAAAGACACUCAUAAGUUUUUAAUACAUGUAAAUAUCAUUCGGAAAAUAUGAGUUUCAUUUUUUAAGUAAUAUCACCGAAAGAAAAAGAUACACUCCGUACGAAAAAGUAUAGAAAAAGAAAACUCUUCCUUCCUUUUAGGGUUUACUCCUGGAUUCGGAGCUCCCUACUUCUCAGCGGCUACAACUUUGUAUUGCUUUAUCCUCCGCCGAUCACAUGUAAACUCUCCGAUCAAGUAGUCCACCACUUCAAAGCCCAAAAGUUCGUUUUUUUCCUUCUAUUUACCUCUCAAUUCAUGAAAGUUUAUAUAAUUAAGAGCUUUGUUUGUUUUUUAUUUUUAUUUUUUUCAUAAUUGAAUCAAAGGAUCUGAUUCUGAACUCAAAUGGGUGUAAUAUUUUCCCCUUGAAUUAGCUCAUUAGCUAGAUUCUUCAUGCUUUAGAUGUGGGCCGGUACUGUAGGUAUCAGUAUUAAGUAAUUCUGAGGUGGUGAUAAUGCUUGAUUAUUAAGUCAUGAGACUGCAAUUUAACUGCAUAUAAAACAUAUAGGGCUGUGUUAUUUUGUUAUAUGUUCUGAGUUAUUUCACACAAAUUAAUAGGGUAUUCCUAGGAAACAAAUAGUUAGAAAUUGGGGGAACCUUAGAGAAUUCAUUUCUUAUUAAUAAAUGCUCAUGGAUACUCUCGGUUCUUGUUUAUUACUUGAGUUUAUUACUUGAGCAGGGUUCCAAUUCUUUUGGAAGUUAAGAUACCUAAAUUUUCAGGUUAAUAGAUCUAUGGUCUCUCCAUAGGUUGAAAGUUGGUUUGCACCACUUUAACUGGUCUUGUUCAUGUUUUACUACUUGGUUUUAAGGUUUUGACUUAAGCAUAAAGCGCUACAUUCUAUGCUCCUUCUGCAACUGCAGGAAGACAAUAUGGUUGGAGCAUGAUUUACACCAUACUUGUAGGAAAAGCUAGAAGACAAGAGUAAAGGAAUGGGCUUGUAAAUGCUCGUCUUAUUUGUUUGCAAUGAAAAGAUGUAGGACAUUAACUUCGUAUCAUUUGGAAUAUAAUGCCCCAAAUUACUGGCUUACCAAAUGGAAACAGAUAUCCAUUUCUUCUGAAUACCUGAUUAGCACCUCUAUUUUGAUUACUGAAUAAAUCCGUCCCGGGGAAAUGGCUGUCGAGGUAUGCUUCUAUGCACAGGUGUAAAUGGUCGAUUUUCGCCAGUGUUUGAUGGGCUUUUGCCCUUAAAUUGCUAUUGUCGG
rnacentral:lncRNA from 1 species